AUUUAUAGCAUCAUCACCCUUGUCGAGUUCGGAUUUAGGAGUCUGCGCCCACAAUCCAAUAGUGUCAGCCAUAGAGAGAUCGGCGCGGGCGGCCACCACGUUCUCAGCGGCCUCCUCCACGUGGCUCGCUGUGGCCUCCACCUGCAAACAGACGACAUAGCUUCAUGAUCCAGUACCUGCCUCCUCAAGCAGUCGAGUUCCCCGAGCAGCACGCGCAGCUGCGACGCGACGCGCCGCGCGUUCGUCUGCUCGGCGCGCACGCGCGUGUACUCGCCGCUCUCCUCGUACUGGAAGCACAGGAUACCAACUUUGAGAGACUUACUCCCUUAAUUAACUUUAACAGUUUGCAAGAAGAGAACCGUAUAUAAGUGCGCGCUCACACCCCAGACAUCCACUAUAGGACCUCUUUCUUUACUUCCAAAAAUUGUAGGCCUAGUUAUAUAAAUAUAUAUGUUUACCUUUAAAUCUUUAACUUUACCGGCAACAUUUUAUCUAAAAUCUGUAUUGACUGUAACUACACACACACUAUGUUUAUUUUUCACUACCAGAUCAGCAUCAAUACUGUCUCGCAGCUACCCAGAAAAUGGCAUAACAUCACACAUCAGGAAUUAGGGGCUUAAUGUUUGUGUUCAGACCGAAUGUAAACAACUUCCGUAGUGAGUCAACUGUGGUUUUGGUCCACUGGAUGAUUGAAAAAGGAAAUAAAAAAUUAUACCGAUUUAUAUUUGUCACCAAUAGUACUUCAACUAUAUUAACUGCCUCAGAUUAAUUAUACUUUAUUACUCUUACUUGUUUUGCAUGAAUUGAUAAUUCGCUCCAUAAUAUAUAUUGCAAUUUAAAUACAUAACUUGUGAUUGGUGUUGUUACAGUUAUGUUGCCAAAAUCGCUCCCACUAGACACGCGUCUAUAAAAAUAGAUUGCUUGUAUCGUCACAAGCUAAAUCUUUCAAUACUACUUAAAAUAACAGCAAUUUCAAACUGGGGAUUGGAAUAUCUACAAACAACAAAUAAUUAAAUAAGUAAUUUUGUUGCUCGUCAUUUAUUUCCACCAACCUUCAGAAUAUUGGCCUUAUGCUGUCGUAAUAAGUCCAAGUGAUGCGGAAUAGCCACUUCGUUGAACUUCGUCAAAGAGAGCUCCACUCGCUUUAAUGGCAAUUUGUUUUCUUCUUCCAUUAUGUAUUUAAUUCCACAUUGAAUAUGACAUUGGCCAGCUAAUUGGUAGUAAUUGUGAGUGGAUAUAAAUCUAUAUUUGUUCAAAUUCACAACACUAAAGUUUUUAAUUGUUUCGUUUUUCACUUUUAUUUAUUUU